rnacentral:rRNA from 1 species
AUUGAACGCUGGCGGCAGGCCUAACACAUGCAAGUCGAGCGGAGCGGCGGACGGGUAAGUAAUGCCUAGGAAUCUGCCUGGUAGUGGGGGAUAACGUCCGGAAACGGGCGCUAAUACCGCAUACUAUACGCUGAACCCAUAUGGGAUUAGCUUGUAGGUAAGGUAACGUCUUACCUAGGCGACGAUCCCUAGCUGGUCUGAGAGUAUGAUCAGCCAGACUGGUACUGAGACACGACCCAGACUCCUACGGGAGGCAGCAGUGGGGAAUAUUGCGCAAUGGACGAAAGCCUGAUGCAGCCAUGCCGCGUGUAUGAAGAAGGCGUUAGGGUUGUAAAGUACUUUCAGUCGGGAGGCGUUACCGAAAGAAGAAGCACCGGCUAACUCCGUGCCAGCAGCCGCGGUAAUAC